rnacentral:rRNA from 1 species
AUGAAUGUUUUGGCCUGGAACUGUCGGGGGUUGGGGUUGACCUCGACAGUUGGCGAGUUGCGGGACCUUAUUAGGUCGUACAACCCAGCGGUGGUGUUCCUGUGUGAAACAGAGAAGAAGGCGAGGGCUAUGGAGAAAAUAAAAUGGAGUCUAGGGUUUAAGUGUGGUGUUGCUGUGGAUUGCCGGGGCCUGAGUGGAGGACUGGCUUUAUGGUGGAGAGAUCAUGUA